rnacentral:rRNA from 1 species
GCAAGGCGUGGCAUACGGCUCAGUAACACGUAGUCAACAUGCCCAAGGGACGUGGAUAACCUCGGGAAACUGAGGAUAAACCGCGAUAGGCCAAGAUUUCUGGAAUGGAUCAUGGCUGAAAUCUAUAUGGCCCCUGGAUUGGACUGCGGCCGAUCAGGCUGUUGGUGAGGUAAUGGCCCACCAAACCUGUAACCGGUACGGGCUCUGAGAGGAGGAGCCCGGAGAUGGGCACUGAGACAAGGGCCCAGGCCCUAUGGGGCGCAGCAGGCGCGAAACCUCUGCAAUAGGCGAAAGCUUGACAGGGUUACUCUGAGUGAUUUCCGUUAAGGAGAUCUUUUGGUACCUCUAAAAAUGGUGCAGAAUAAGGGGUGGGCAAGUCUGGUGUCAGCCGCCGCGGUAAUACCAGCACCCCGAGUGGUCGGGACGUUUAUUGGGCCUAAAGCAUCCGUAGCCGGUUCUACAAGUCUUCCGUUAAAUCCACCUGCUUAACAGAUGGGCUGCGGAAGAUACUAUAGAGCUAGGAGGCGGGAGAGGCAAGCGGUACUCGAUGGGUAGGGGUAAAAUCCGUUGAUCCAUUGAAGACCACCAGUGGCGAAGGCGGCUUGCCAGAACGCGCUCGACGGUGAGGGAUGAAAGCUGGGGGAGCAAACCGGAUUAGAUACCCGGGUAGUCCCAGCUGUAAACGAUGCAGACUCGGUGAUGAGUUGGCUUAUUGCUAACUCAGUGCCG